GAAGGGUUCUAGGGUAGAUUCUUGCUGAGGGGCUAGAGUUAGGCCUGACAGAUGUACCAAUUUCUUGUUAAGUAACUAGUCUCUCAGAGAGCCACUUCUCACAUACAGACAGACUGGAAGCAGAGGGGGGAAAAAAAAACCUCAGGUAGAGAAAAGUAUUCCAAAGCUUAAAGUAGCUUAAGGAGAGCAGCAAAAAUAGGGAGGCAGAUCCCCUCCCAGUCCCCCAUCACCCCCCACCCAUUGUGGUACUGAAGAUAGAACCCAGGGAUGACCAAGUAUUCUUGCACUAGUUCUUUUUGUUUUCCUCUUUGUUAUACUGGAGAUUGAAUCCAGUCUUGUGUUUGCAAGGAAAAUUCUCUAGCACUUAAGGUAUACUCCCAGCUCCCCCAUCCUUUCUUUUGACAGGGUCAUGCUAUGUAGCCUAGUUUGGAUAUGAUCUAACUAUUCUCCUGCACCUUCUGAGUAGCUGGGAUUAUAGGAGCAUGCCAUCAUGCCCAGCUAAGAUAAUUUGGAUUGAGUUUCUGUUAUUUGCACCUAAGAGUCUAAAAUGAUAUAUCUAAUUCCUAGCACAUAUACCAAAAAAAUAAGAAGUGGUUUCAAAAGAGUAGGAGCAAAACACAGAGCCUAAAAUAUUACAGCACAAAGGAGAUAACCAUUAAAUAAGAAAAAUGAUUGACUGACGGCUCAGAUAAGAAGAAUCCUGACUGAGGUGAAGAACUGGGCUUCCAUCUCGACCU